rnacentral:rRNA from 1 species
GACGAACGCUGGCGGCGUGCUUAACACAUGCAAGUCGAGCGGUAAGGCCCUUUCGGGGGUACACGAGCGGCGAACGGGUGAGUAACACGUGGGUGACCUGCCCUUAGCUCUGGGAUAAGCCUGGGAAACUGGGUCUAAUACCGGAUAUGACUCCAUAACGCAUGUUGUGGGGUGGAAAGCCUUGUGCGGCUAGGGAUGGGCCCGCGGCCUAUCAGCUUGUUGGUGGGGUGAUGGCCACCAAGGCGACGACGGGUAGCCGGCCUGAGAGGGCGACCGGCCACACUGGGGACUGAGACACGGCCCAGACUCCUACGGGAGGCAGCAGUGGGGAAUCUUGCGCAAUGGCGAAAGCCUGACGCAGCGACGCCGCGU